GAUGAACGCUAGCGGCAGGCCUAAUACAUGCAAGUCGUACGGCAACACAGUUGCGAGCAAUCGCAACCGGUGGCGAGUGGCGCACGGGUGAGUAACGCGUAUGUAACCUACCCUUCUCCGGGACAUAACUCCGCGAAAGCGGUGCUAAUAUCCCAUACCAACUCAUCAAGACAUCUUCUUGAGUUGAAAGCAGCAAUGCGGUGAAGGAUGGGCAUGCGUCCCAUUAGCUGGUUGGUGAGGUAAUGGCCCACCAAGGCUAUGAUGUUUAGGGGUCCUGAGAGGGUGGUCCCCCACACUGGUACUGAGACACGGACCAGACUCCUACGGGAGGCAGCAGUGAGGAAUAUUGGUCAAUGGGCGCAAGCCUGAACCAGCCAUCCCGCGUGCAGGAAGACGGCCCUAUGGGUUGUAAACUGUCUUUUCCAGGGAGAGAAACUUACGCACGUGUUGCGUGACUGACGGUACCCGUGGGAAUAAGCAUCGGCUAAC
rnacentral:rRNA from 1 species